AGACCCUGAGGUGGCCCGCUUCUUGACACUAAUCUUCCGUGUGUGGGUGUACUUUGGCAUCACCGCCAUGUUCCUCAUGACGUGCGUGGACAUCGGUCACUACUUGUAUGGUUUGUACGCCUUGAUGUUCCAUCCGCCACAGCAGCAGCUGGUAGCGGCAGAGGUGCUGCUCCCGCCUCCACCUCCGGAGAUGGACAUGUGCUAAAUUUGGUCUGUGGGUUCGGUAUGUGUUUGAUUGCUGGCAACAGGUGCGUUUUCUAACCCGUUCUUCAGUCUCUGUUUUAGUUGCUUACAGGUGUUGCUGCUCUCCUAGCUCAAGGUACAUGCCCUCCCCUUCCCGGCCCUAUCUUUGAUUCAGCACUUAUAAUGACGUAUUGCUUAACUAUGCAGCUAUAAGUAUCUGAAACAUUAAGUGUUGAAACAGAAAAUAUCUUGAUUUUAGGUUCCAUAUAUAGUGUAGUUGUCUGUGGCCCAUAUGAUUUGGUGCAGAUUUCGCUGCUUGUGCUAGACAUUCUGUUUUCAAUUUGUUUAGGCACUACUAGAAAUUGGAAGAUGCUUCAGGUGCUUCUUGUUUAGUAGCUAUUAAAUGGUAUGUUUUUUCAAGCCUCAAUCUAUCUUUUGUAAAACAAUGAAUCCACAAUGUGUUCAUACUUCAGUAGUUGCAAAGUGGGAGCACUCCAGUGAAUUUAUUACUUAAUUGUUCUGGUAUGUCUUUUCCUUGUUUAUUACUUUCUGUAUUUUGUGUUAUUUGUGAUAAACAGGCUUUCUUGAUGAAAGGAUCAAGUGGCAAGCAUCAGUGAGAGCACAUCACUUGAUGGCCCGAUCUGGACGUGAUCAUCACAGGGAAGUGGAGUAAAAGAUCAACCUGUUGAGUGCCAUGACAACAAAAAUGCCAGCGUGCUAAAUUAGGACAGAACUAAGUAGACCUGGAAAAUACUGCGAACGAAGUGGGAGAAGAACCAAGUUUGAAGCUUUUAACUGGAAUAGCUAUUACUUUUGUGUAGUUCGAAGUUUCUCAUUUGCAAUAGCUACUUUUUAUUUCAUAGUUUGUUCAGUAUCUUUAGGAAAUAAGAUAUGGUUUUUUAUAUCUCUAAAAGAAUUUCAGUUGCCAUUGUCUGUCCUGGAGUAGUGCUAAAAAUAAAUUUGUUUGAUUUCACAUGGUCUCUUGUUACUUGGGUUUCUUUUGUUCUCUGUGUUGUUUCUGCUGGGUCUUUGUCACUCCUGGUCACCCAAGUGUGACCUCUGUAGUAUAUGCACAAAAAUAUUACUAGUGUUGAAAAAGGUCUGAAAUUUUUUAAAUAAAUGGUACAGAACAAUGGUUUGUAUAUAUAGUUUAGUUACAUGUUUUUUAGUAUGUGACUGUACUGUGAAAAUCGGACAAUAGGCAACUAGCAUCUGGUACUUCCAUUGCAGGCUGAUUGGGAAGUCUAAUUGAAUUGUGGUGAUUGGCCUGAUUGGUGUUGGGUCUCACACAGAGGCCAUAUGCGGCAUGUGCCAAUGGUUAUGAGUUCCCUUUCUGCAAAAUGGAACAGCUAAAGGAUUUUGUUUUCCCUUUUUGUGCGCAUAAUAAAAAAAUGAAAUGAACUGACUAUUAAUACUGUUGUACUGUGUCACACUAAUUCUGUUUUAUGUUUUGGAAUUAGCUAGUCACUUGAUAUAUGUCAAAACUGCUAAUCUGAUAGGAUUUUCUUGUUAGUGAUAUCGAUAGCUAAUCUAACAUUUUGUUUGUGUGACCUUUUGAAUUAUUAUUCAAGUCUCUGUUUAUUUUUUACAUGCUUAUAGGUGUUGCUGCUCUCCAUGCUCAAGGUACAUGCCCUCCCCUUUUGGACCCUUUCUUUGAUUCAGCAUCUUUAAUGUCGUAAUUGCUUAAUUGUGCAGCUAUAAUAAGGAUCUGAAAUCUGAAAUAAUAAGUUUUGAAACAGAAAAUGUCUGGAUGUUAGGUUCCAUAUAUAGUUGUUUGUGGCCCAUAUGGUUUGGCACAGAUUUCUUUGCCUGUGCAAGACUUCUGUUUCCAAUUUGUUUAGGCACCAAUGGAAACUGGAAGAUCCUUAAGGUGUUUAGCUAUUAAAUGGUAUGUUUUUCAAGUUUUGUUCAAUCUAUCUUUUAUAGAACAAUGAAUCCACAAUUCUUAGUGUUGUGGAUGAUUGACUUGCUCCUUAAGGAUCUUCCUGGUGUAGGUUAUCCUCUCUUCGUUGCUAGAAUGAGCAUUUUGAUGUUGCUGCUCCUUGCGUUGCAUUUCUGUUGGUGUUAUAUUAUAGUGUGGAUAGUUCUGUUUACAAUUCUACUAGUGUAUAUUGCUUUCUUAGUUUCUUUUGCUAGUACAGUCAUUGAUUGGGUGCAUUGCGCUAUAGUUUCACUGCCAUUUCUUAAUUUUACAGCAUGUAAAUUCUUUUGUCACAUGACCCAUCUUUUAGCUGUGAAAUUAAAUGCGAGUGUGUUGAUAUAUAUACUCGGAAAUGUACUUCAUAUAUUUAACAACCUGACUUGACUACAAAAGAUCAUGAGUCCAUGUUGAAUUAGCACUAAUAAUCUGAACAUUGUUAGAAGUGCAAUCCUUUUCUAGAAAUUAUUUCACUUGAGAAGGAUGCAUUUACUUGCACCAUUUACUUGGACCUGUCAACAUAUGUAGGAUAUCGAACGUCAUAAUGUUCAAGUGCACAUUAUGUUCAACAAGGAUGAAUGACCCGGUUCAGGCAGGUCUUCACCAACUACAACUGGAAGACAGAUGCUCAAUCAUAUACAUUGUGGACAUAGCAUUGAUGAAAUACAGAGGCUAGAUUCUUUGCUAAGACAGCCUGAAUCCUAUGAUACAGAUUCAUUUUCUUAGUAGAUUGUUCCCCUUUUAUGGGAAAGCUAAUGAUUUCAAUGUUGCUAUGGGCAUCAGAGGCCAACCAUUGUACUAUAGGGCAUAGACAUAUUGUUUGAACCGCUUAAUAGUUUUAUCAGGCUUCAAAAGCCUCAGCUUGGAAUGGUAGUAUAUAUGUAUAUACCUGGCUCAAUGGGCUUGCAGUACCAUAUAAAUGGGAAUUACAGCCGUACAUGGACUGAGUGUGUUGUGUAAUAAAAAAGUACUCCACAUGUUAUGCGUUGGAGUCUCUAAUUAACUAUGUGUAUGACUUGAAUUAUGUGUUUGUUUUAGGAGAUCCAUUAUAUCAGUCUGCUGCUGCCUGUCAUGCAUAGCAGUGGCUAAAGAUGAGGCAGAAUCGAUUGGUCUUCUUCUUGGGAGUGCUUAUGAUAGCUGUUUACACUAGAGUUGUUUGUAUACAAUGUACUUAAUCUGGAUGUACUUGGCUUGUAUGUAGCGCUUCUAAAUAGUAAAUACUACUGGAAACAAUUUCAGUCUUAUUAGCAUUUUAUUUUCAAUAUGCGUAUCGAAUUCAGAGACCAAAUUACAAAUCAGUAUGUACAGAUUGUGUGUGGCCUACCUCUGAAAAACAGCUUGUCUCUGUCAGUGUGUCCCAACACACAAGUUAAGCUUGAUCAGACUGAGCUUCCUGUGUAUUGUGUACUGCUACGACAGUGUCAAUAGGUCACAAAUCUGUGUUUCAGGCCUCAAAAAGUAGUUUUCGCCUGAUAGCAAGUGUUGGCAUAUGAAAGCCAUAUGGUUUUAGGACGAUGGCACUGCACCAGUAGAUGAAUCCGUUUGAGUUAGGUCAUAAUUUGUUUUCAGAGUUUGAACAGUAACUAUUGGUUUAUAUCACAUUUAAACGUUCAUUAGUGUGCUAGUGUGUUCUAGUAUCUGAUCCGAGAUGCUUGUGGCUUUUUUUCAGCCAGACUAAAAAAAAUUCUAGUAGUGACCUAGGUCACUUGUUCUUUCAGGGCUUUUAAUAUACUACCUCUGUCCUUGAAAGUUUUAACUUCUAGAGUUGUUUUAAGGUCUUGUUUAGUUCCGAAAUUUAUUAGUACGCUGUCAAUUAGAAUAAAAAAGCGUAAGGAUAGGAGCAUGGUCAUUGCGAAGCAUUGGAAGAUAAUAUAUAGUCGUCCGAGGAUAAGCCAUAUAUCAUUCUGCGUUGGCAAGACAUUGAUCAAGAUGUUCGAAAGUUGGAGCAGAGCUGAAUCUCUUAUUGAUCCAUGUGUACGCCGGUCCGCUAUAUCCAAGAUCAAUGAAACCAUGCUGUUUGACAAAAUCACAGAAAACAUUAAUGCGCCUAAGAUCAGGUCUACCAGGACCUAAUUUUUCAUUGGGUACAUAAUAUCAUUCAUAUCUCCCAUAGAGAACAUAGACAAUGUGCUAUGACUUACAACAAAAUCCAGCACACGCAUCCAUAUGGUAGUAGUGUUAAUGUGAUGAGAGUCACCGUAAAUACAAACUAGCCCAAAUUGUUUCUGGUCUAGAUUAUUACUACACAAGGCAAAAAUAUAGUUUUGAGACUGAUCAACUACCGUGAGACUGGCCUUGAGCAGGGAUUACCAGCGCAUUUAUGGCAUUAAAACGAUUAAUUAAAGAAGUACGAGAUGUGUCAUCUAGUUUAAAAAAUAAAACAUACCUAUGACUUAGUAGAGGUAAUUAGGCGGGCAAGAUGUGUCAUCUUAGAACUGCUCGGGGAUCCGCCCGAUCCCCGACAGUUCCAUGCCAGGAGUGUCAUGGCGUCCACGACGCCUAUGCGGCUGGUGCUGGAGCCUUUUGAAGAUUGAGGUCGAUAACAAGCUGAGUAGGGCUGCGAGCCGUACCCUCGCUUUUACUAGUGUCACUUCAUGGCUAAGCUGUAGAGUGGGGUUCACCAUGGGGGAGAGCAUGAUGUUUUUCGUCACCCAGAUCUAGUUCGCCGAGAGGAAGCUGGCGAUGAUCAGGAAUGUGAGCCGUAGCCAUAGUGUCGGUGCCGUGGGGCGACGUAUGGCAAGGAUGCAUUGAAGUGAGAGAUUGAUGUUGCUGGGAUGGCGUGGUGGUAUGGCUUAUUGGAGACGCGGGUUGAGGCCGAGGUGGAGAGGUGGGUAUGGGGGUUGAAACCAUUGGUGGAUGAGGAAGCGUCUUGGUCGGGUGGCUUAGGCUCCAUGGUGAGGGGGACCGGCAAGGAAGUAUAGUCGCUUGCCAUGGUGGAAAGGGAUAGAAGAAGACGUAGAAAGGGGAGUACAAACGUGAAUGACGAGGGCUCAUCAGUAAGAUAUAGCAUACCUCCUUCAAAUCUAGAUCUCAGGCUAUUGAUUGCCACCAAUUGAAGCUACAGACAACCUAGAGCAGACACAUUGAAUUGCAUGAUAGGGAGAUUGGGAGGAGAUUUGGCGCAGGGGAUUCAGCUUCCGCCACUACACAGGUCCUAUUGUGUGGUGCCCACUGAGAGAAUCAGCGGAAGGAGCCAGACCGCUCAGAUCGGAUGAGGAUUGGCACACAGGAUGAUGAUCGGAAGGAUUGGGAUGGAUUAUAGCAAGGGGAAUCAAGGAUUGCGGGGGGGGGGGGGGGGAUUGAGUGGUAGGAAGGUAACUCAUGGCAUAACGGCCAAUGCUACUCAGAGUUCUCGUGGUCUAGUUCAUAGCCCAACCUAAUAUAAAUCAUCAUGGGAAGAAAAAAGUACCGAUACAUAAUAGAAAUACAGUCAACAGUGACUACACACAGACAGGAACAAACAUUGAUUUGAAAUGAACAAAUUAUAAUGUUCCUUUUUUUAGAACACACUCUGCAUUAAAUCUGACAAAAUAGAAGUUAGUAGUAGCAGCACUACAGACUCUGUCAGAAACUAAGCGAGGGUGCAAAGCUUUAGCAUUUCGGAGUGAUCAAGGGGGAGAGUUUAACUCCAUUGAGUUCAAGCAGUACUGUGAUGAGCAUGGAGUCAAAUAUUUCACCACAACUCCAUAUACACGGUAGCAAAAUAGCACUAUUGAGCGAUAGAAAUGCACCGUAGUGGGAAUAGCUAGAUGUCUGUUAAAGAGCAAGAGUGUCCUUGUGAGUUUUGGGGAGAAGCGGUGUCAGCUGCAGUCUAUUUACUAAGUCCUUGUUUAGUUCGUAAAAUUUUUUGUUUUUGGAUACUGUAGCAUUUCGUUUUCAUUUGACAAACAUUAUCCAAUCACAGAGUAACUAGGCUCAAAAGAUUCAUCUCACAAAUUACAGGUAAACUGUGCAGUUAGUUUUUAUUUUCAUCUAUAUUUAAUGCUCCAUGCAUGCGACCAAAGAUUCGAUGUGAUGGAGAAUCUUGAAAUUUUUUGCGAACUAAACAAGGCCUAAACCGAGCCCCAACAAAGAGCCAGCAAGAGAAAACUCCAUGGCACGACCGCAAGCCCAAAGUACAUCAUCUUCGCACGUUUGGUUGCAUUGCCUAUGUGAAGAUAGUUGAGCCUGGUAACUAAAAUGGUGUUUGUGAGCUAUAAAGCAGAACUAAGGGUUAUGAUGCCUAGCCUUGUUGAUGUGGCAUAGCUCGGCGCCAUGAAACAUAGCGCUGACAUCAGUGCUAAUGUCAAACGCUGUCCUCGCCAUCAUCAGCUUUGCUUUCGAAGCUGCAUGCGCUUUCGAAGCUGCAUGUCGUCUCGUUAUACCUGCUCGUGUGCUCUGCAUGCAUGCACCACCUCACUCAAUUAAUGUUCACGUGCAGUGCAUGCAUGUAGGUAGCUAGCCUCAUGGCAACUAGGCCUUAGUUCCAAAUGUUUUUCUAAAAUAGACAUUGUAACAUUUUCGUUUGUAUUUGACAAAUAUUAUCAAAUCAUGGAUUAACUAGACUCAAAAGAUUCAUCUCGUAAAUUACAUGUGAACUGUGUAAUUAGUUUUUAUUUUUGUCUAUAUUUAAUGUUCCAUGUAUGCGUCUAAAGAUUCGAUGUGAUGGAAAAUCUGAAAAAUGUUGCAUUUUUUUGCGAUGAAAGAAGAAUCAUAUUAGAUAAUAGUUGGGUACAUGAAUACAUUACAAGCACUCUGGAUUACACAAAUAUUCAGAAAAAAUCAUCUAAGUUAUACCCAAGCUGUGAAUAGCUUUAGAUCUCAAAACCAAAAUUUUUUGAGAACUAAACAAAGCCCUAAUAUGCUGUAGUGCAUGUGAGAGGGUGGUAUGGCACAUGGAAAGCUGUGUUUUUUUUUGUCUCGGUGAAAAUAUAUUGAUAGAGCCUUGUAUAGUUACAUUUUUUUUGUAUCUGAUUACUGUAGUAUUUUUAUUUUAUUUGACAACUAAUAUCCAAUUACAGACUAAUUAGGUUUAAAAGUUUCAUCUCAUAAAUUAUAGGCAAACUAUGUAAUUAGUUAUUUUUUAAUCUAUAUUUAAUAUUCUGUGCAUGUGUUCAAAAAUUCAAUGUGACGGGAGAAAAGAAAAAUUUUGGAACGAAACAGGGCUCACGUGACCAUGCUAGAGGCAAGUUUGUUGCCGAUUUUUUUUAAAGGGACGGUGGAUUUUUCACAAGAGAUGAAGAGACUUUUUACUGCAAAUAAAAAGAUAAUACCGUGUGAUUGAUUUUUCUAUGCGUGGGUCCGUUGGUUGAUCAGAAUUUUUUUCUCAGUACUGAAAUUACAAAUUGCGUCUAUAGAAAAUGUAAUGAACAAAAUCUUCUAUUUUGAUAUAAUAUAUAUGCAAUAAUAGUCGCCUGCAAUGACCUUGGUCAUGUGUUGCAACUAGAAAAAAAUACUCAUGUGUUGCUACUGAAAAAAGUAAUAUCAUAAUAAUUUAAAUUUCAACAUGUGUUGUACUGUAAACACAUAUUUUCAACAUGUGUUAGUUCGCGAUUUUUUUACUUUGGCUACUACUGUAGCAUUUUCGUUUAAAUUUGGUAAUUAUUAUCUAACUAUAGACUAACUAGGCUCAAAAGAUACGUCUCGUAAAUUUCAGGUAAAUUAUACAAUUAUUUUUUUAUUUAUAUUAAAUGUUCCAUGCAUGCAUCCAAAGAUUUGAUGUGAUGAAAAUCUAGAAAUGGCUACACUGAUGCCCACGGGACGCAAGGCUUGCGUGGCCGCAUGAGGCCAUUGGCUGAGCUGUAUUCCCUCUAUAUAGGGUCUAGAUGUCGUUUAGGAUAGCGAUACGAUCUACGAAACACAACUUUGACCUCUUAUUUUUAUAAAAAUAUUUAGAAAAAAUGAUAUAUGUAUUUUUAAAGACAAAUCUAUUCAUAAAUUUUUGAUAUUUGCAAACUCAACAAUUUAAAAGUUAUUGAUGAUUUAUAUUCCAAAGUUUGACCCAAACCUUGUCCAAAACGAUAUCUAAAUUCUAUACGAAUGGAGUACUUGUAUAUUUCAACUUUUAUGCAUGAAGAAAUCAAUUUUUAGUUUUUGUGGCAAUGCACAAAAUUAAUUACUCGCUUCAUUCUAAAUUAUAAGUCAUAAGUCAUUUCAAGAAUUUUGGAGAUUUAAAGUAUCUCAAGUUUAACCAAAAUUAUAAAGAAAAUAUAAAAAUUUAUGACAUUAAAUAGGUACAAUAUGACGAAAUUUAUGAUGCCAACUAAGUAUCAAUGUAUCAAUAGAUUCUUUAUUAAUUAUAUUUUUGUUAUGAAAGUGCAUUUGUCCCCUAUGUGGGUUUUGGUGUAUUGAUGACAUCCAAUUUAGGGACUAAUGCGUUGUAUUUGAGAUUUGCUACAGCUACUAGUCUCAUGAAAGAUGCAAAGGUUCGACUUAAGAUGAAAUGGUAUCCCCCAAUCUUCGUUCGUGAGAAAGGCGUUGGAAUCAAUCUAGAGCUUAAUUGUUUUUCUUUAAUUUUGGGGAUAGGUAUGCCGUACUAUCAAGAGGGAUUCAAAAGUUGUUGGUUUGGCGAAGAUAGAGUGCUCAAGUCUUUCAACUAAAACUUUUUAGAGACACUCUAGCACCUCUCUUGCACUUAGGUUUAACUUCUGUGACUUCUGGUGUCGGAAGUCCCGACGCGGGUCGGAACUCCCGACGUGCUGCGCGAGAACUGUGAACGUCGGAAGUCCCAACGUAAGUCGGAAGUCCCGACGUUGAGUUCUGCGCGCGCACAUGUCGGAAGUCCCGACAAGCGUCGGAAGUCCCGACGCCAGAACUUUGGCUGGCUGCUCCCUCGCACGAGCGUUAGCAGUCCCGACCAGCGUCAGCAGUGCUGACGCGUCGGAAGUCCCGACGCUUGUUGGAACUUCCGACGUUGCCGUUUCUGCGCUGACUCAGUUUGCCUGUUGAACAGUUUUUCCCCGUGAGUGUCGGAAGUCCCGACACUAUGUCAGAACUUCCGACGUAGACCUGAGCAGACUUUUCUCCCAGUAGUAUAAAUAGCUCUCUCUGUGUUUCUAACCGUUACCCACUCUUUCAUUGCGACCAUCCCUCAGACUAAACAGCUCCCAAGCAUUCAAGACUCCCCUCUCCUCCUCCUCUUUGCUCCCAACUUCGAUUCACCUUAGAUUUGGAGUGAUUGGAGAGUGGUUAAGUGAGAGCAACGUCUUGAGAAGCUUGAGCACUUGAUCUCUUCGUCAAGCCGGCAGGUUUUGAGUUUAUUACUCUUGGGUUCUUGGAACCCUAGCCGGCUAGGCAUCGUCCAAGAGCUUCCAUCUUGUGGAAGAGCCUUGGAAAGUUUGUAUUACCCGGUUUUUCUUAGUGGAAAGCUCAAGUGACCUUUGUGGUUACUUUGAGGGAGGCAAGGAGGUGAAAGAGACUCCGACCUUGGUGGUCACCUCAACAACGAGGACGUAGGAACUCCUAAGUGGGGUUGCCGAACCUCGGGUUAAAUCCUUGUGUCUCUUGUGGUAGUUUGUCUUAAGAUCUACUUGUAUUACUUGUAUUUGCUUGUGCUUCAACCUCCUUUUAGGGUUUGGUCUCGAUCUACGGUUUGGGGGACUCUUGGUGUCAAGGAAGGUUCUCAACAUCCUCUUCUAACCACUAGAGAGUGGUGUUGUAAGUUGUGGAUCUCACAAAGUUCAUUUAAGCACUUGUAGUUCAUUUCCCGUAGGUGUCGGAACUGCUGACAGUUUGCGUUGGAACUUCUGACAACGUCGGAAGUUCUGACCCAAACUGUCGGGACUUCCGACAGUUACUGACAAGUGACUUUGAGUUUUGUGUAGAAUUUUUAUAUACGCCUAUUCACCCCCCCCCUCUAGGCAUUGUUUAGAUCCUUUCAAUUGGUAUCAGAGCGAGGUCUUCUUUUAGCACUUUACCGUGUGAGAAGAAACAAUGUCGGAAACCGAAAAGACACAAGAAUUGGCUAAGGAAAUAGCCAAAGAACUGUUGGCAGCUCAAUCAAAGCUUUUUCAAGAUGAAAUGAAGAAAAUGCAAGAUGAGAUGACAAAGUUAAAAGAAGAGCUGAGCAAGAAAGUUGAUGAUGCAAUAGGUAGUAGGAAAUCUGAUGAGGGACCUAGUGGACACAAAGACAAUGAUAAUGAAAGUGAAGUUGGAGGUAAAGAAGAAGGUCAGUCUACUCCAACAUGAACUUUGAUUUUUCACAGCUUAUCAAGGCUUCACAUCAUGCUCCAUCUAUCAACCUAGGGAAACCUCCUCACUUUGAUGGAACUAGAUAUCCCGAUUGGGCCUACAAAAUGAAGAUGCAUCUCAUUGCCGCAAAUCUUUGGGAAGUGGUAGAUGUUGGUGUAACAUUUCCCACUGAAGAUAGAGAGAUCACUCCGGAGGAAGCUCACACCUUUCGUCAAAAUGCACAAGCUGUAGCUAUUUUAGUUUCAAGUUUGGCUCCAGAUGAAUUCAACAAAGUGAAUGGAAGAGAAGUUGCCAAGGAUAUUUGGGAAGUGUUGAAGACAGCAUUUGAAGGUGACAAGAGUGUGAGAAUGGGUAACAUUGAGUUACUUCAUGGUGAGUUGGAAAGAUUUGUUUUCCUAGAAGGUGAAUCCACUCAGGCUAUGUUUGAUAGGAUGAUGUCUUUGGUCAAUCGGAUAAGAUCUAUUGGAAGCACUGAAUGGGAUGAAAACAAGGUUGCUAGGAAGAUCUUGAGAACCUAUAGGGCAAAGAACAACAUGCUAGCAUCAGUGAUUAUGGAAAGGCCCGACUAUGAUUGCAUGACACCUCAAGAAGUUCUAGCCAAGCUCAAGCAUCAUGAGUGCCUUGAUCAAGAUGCAAUCAAUGCACAUAGUCAAAAUCCUAGUGCAAUGGGAUACAACAAGAAUGUAGCUCUAAAGGUAGAGCAAGGCCAUGAACACCACAAGUCAUGUCAAGAAAAGAAGAAAGUGAAGGAUGAUUCAUCAAGUGGUGACGAAGAUUCUGAUCAAGAAGUUGCUUUUAUCAUUAGAAAUCUCAGAAAGUUUAUGAAGAAGAAGGGUCAUCAAAAGAAGAAGAGGUUUUGCUAUGGAUGUGGACAGACCGGUCACUUCAUAGCUGAGUGCCCAAAUAUGAAAGACAAGAACAAGUACAACAAGAAUAAUGACAAGAAGUACAAAGGAAAGAAAAAGGGUGAAGCUCAUCUUGGUGAAGAAUGGAUAUCCAAUGAUAGUGAUUCAAGUGAUGAAGAGAAGAAGAAGAAGAAAGGAGCUGCAAAUAUUGCCAUCCAAAAAUCCUCAUCAUCACUCAUGAACCUCCCAAAGGCUUCACCACCAAAGCUCUUCCCCAACUUGGACUCCAAACCAAGCCUCUUCGCCAACCUCAUCGACGAUGAUUACUACACUCCAACUUGCCUUAUGGCUAAGGGGGAGAAGGUAACUACCUCAUCUGAAACCUCUAGUGAUGAAUAUGAUAGUCAUGAUGAAAACAUAGAACAACUUGAGGCAUCCUUGAUAAAGAAAUUUGGUCAUAAGGCCUUCACUAAAAUAAAAAGUCUAAUGAAGAAAUUAGAGAAGAGGGAUAGAUGCUUAGAGAUGAAAGGUGAUAUAAUUGUGCAAGAGAAGGAAAAGAACCUAGCACUUGAAGCAUCUAUCGCCGAGGAAAAGACGAAGGUUGAAAAGUUGACCGUUGAAUUGUCUUUAGCCAAUGACUCAAUUGGGAAAUUGACUAAGGAACAUUCCUCGGUUGAUGAUCAAGUAGCUAGCCUUAAAAAUGAGAAUAGUAUAGCUCAAGAAAGCCUCACAAGCUUUAAGGAAAAAUACCGAAUUCUUGAGUUAAACUAUAACACUCUUUGGGCUAGCACUUCGACUUCUCCUAAGGCAACCAAAGACUCUAAUGUCUCCACUAGCAACGGUUGUAAAAGAUGCUACAAAGUUGAUGUAAAUGCAUAUGCUACUAACCUUGUUGAGUUAGAGAAAAAGGACAAGGAAAUCAAUAGGUUGAAGAUGGAAAUUAAGAAGGGGUGUAAAUGCCAAGAGCAAUCUAAAAGGACUAUAUACAAGGCAUUUAGGCACCCAUCCAUCAAGGAAGGACUUGGUUUUAAUAGGUAUGAUGGAAAGGUCAAUGGAAGAAACAUUGUGAACGGAGUGCCUUGUGUAAAGUUCAACAAGGGUGUUGCCCUUGAUGAGCUUAUCUGCAAGGCAAACAACAAGGUUUAUCUUCCGUUGAUUCAACCUACAAACAACAAGGAAAGCAAGAUAAAGCCAUCCGAAGCUCCCAAGCCACAAGCACCACUUCCACGGUGCUAUGCUAGUGACUAUAUGUGUUGUUAGGGCAAAGAUAGCAAGAUCGUGGUAAAGUAUGUUGGUGCCCACAAGAGGAAGGAAAUAUUGAGGAGUGUCUGGGUGCCAAAACUUUAUGUGACUAACCCCCUAGGACCCAAAUCUAUUUGGGUACCUAAAACACAAGUUUGAUUUGUCUUGGUAGGAAUACUCCUCCAGUGGAACAAGUUGGGUGUUGGAUAGUGGAUGCACCAAUCAUAUGACCUGAGAGAAGGAUAUGUUCACAUCAUUCCAACCUAGUGGUGAACAAAGUGGAAACAUUGUAUUUGGUGACAAUGGAAAAGGAGAAGUACUUGGUUUGGGUAAAAUUGCUAUCUCAAAUGAUAACUCCAUUUCCAAUGUUUCACUUGUAAAUUCGUUGAGUUACAAUUUGUUGUCCGUCUCGCAACUUUGUGAAAUGAGUUACAAUUGUCUCUUUACGGAUAAGGGUGUGGAAGUCUAUAGAAGGGAGGAUUCCUCUAUUGCAUUUACGGGUCACCUAAAAGGGAAACUCUAUCUAGUUCAUUUCACAUCAAAUAGAGUAAAGCCCGAGACUUGUUUAAUGGCAAAAUCUAGCAUGGGGUGGUUAUGGCAUCGCCGACUUGCCCAUGUUGGGAUGAGGAACUUGGCCAAACUUCAAAAAGGCGAACACAUCCUUGGACUAACAAAUGUUUCUUUUGAGAAAGAUAGGAUUUGCAGUGCAUGUCAAGCGGGAAAGCAAGUAGGAGCUAAGCAUCCCGCAAAGAACAUCGUGACAACCGAAAGGCCUUUGGAGCUGCUACACAUGGACAUAUUUGGACCCGUGGCUUACAUAAGCAUUGGUGGUAACAAAUAUGGUUUUGUGAUUGUUGAUGAUUAUUCACGUUACACUUGGGUUUUCUUUUUGCGUGAUAAAAGUGAGGUCCAAGGUAUUUUCAAGAAGUUUGCAAGAAGAGCUCAAAAUGAGUUUGAUGUCAAGAUCAAGAAAGUUAGAAGUGACAAUGGGACGGAGUUCAAGAACACCAACAUCAAAGAGUACCUUGAUAAAGAAGGAAUCAAGCAUGAGUUUUCGGUUCCGUACACUCCUCAACAAAAUGGUGUUGUGGAGAGAAAGAACCGGACACUCAUAGAAGCCGCAAGAGCAAUGUUGGAUGAAUACAAGACUCCGGUGAACUUUUGGGCGGAAGCGGUUCACACGGCGUGUCAUGCUAUCAACCGCUUGUAUCUUCACAAGAAAAGAGAAAAGACCGCCUAUGAACUUCUAACUGGUAAAAAGCCCAAGGUGCACUACUUUAUAGUUUUUGGAUCCAAGUGUUUCAUACUUAACAAAAAGUCCAAAAGCUCAAAGUUUGCACCAAAGGUUGAUGAAGGUUUAAUGCUUGGUUAUGGUACUAAUGAACAUGGAUAUCGUGUUUUCAAUAAAACCUCCAGUUUGAUUGAAAUUGCGGUAGACGUGACCUUUGAUGAAACCGACGGCUCUCAAAAGGAGCAAGUCAAUGUUGAGAUUGUAGGUAAUGAAGCAGCUGCACAAGAAGCUAUCAAGAAGCUAGCAAUUGGUGAAAUAAAGCCCAUUGAAGAUGACGAUGAAGAAAGUGCAGUGCAUGUUGAUCAUGAUUCUACCAUUCAUCAUGGCUCAUCCAAUGAGCAUGGUGAGGCUUCCGCAUCAAGAAUCAAUGAAGAUUAUGGCAACAACGUGCAAGCUCAACCUCAUCUUAAUCUUGACCAUACAAGUGAAGACAAUCAUCCACAAGAUCAUAGUCUUGGUCUUCCAAUAGAUCAUGGCUAUGAUGAUGAAGAAGAUGAUGGCCCCAUUCAAAGAUCAACUCAAGUGCCACAUCCUAGAGUACAUCAAUCAAUUCAGCGGGAUCAUCCCGUUGAUAACAUUUUGGGAAGCAUUCGACGAGGGGUAACGACACGUUCUCGUUUAGCAAGUUUUUGUGAAUAUUACUCGUUUGUUUCUCCUUUGGAACCUCGUAGGGUGGAAGAAGCACUUGAUGAUGAAGAUUGGAUGAUGGCCAUGCAAGAAGAGUUGAACAACUUCACACGGAAUGAAGUCUGGUCCUUGGUGGAAAGGCUCAACCAAAAUGUGAUUGGAACCAAAUGGGUCUUCCGCAACAAGCAGGAUGAGCAUGGCGUGGUGACAAGGAACAAGGCAAGAUUGGUAGCUCAAGGUUUUACUCAAAUAGAAGGAUUGGAUUUUGGGGAGACCUAUGCACUGGUGGCAAGGCUAGAAUCCAUUCGUAUUCUACUAGCCUAUGCUGCCCAUCAUGAUUUCAAGCUAUAUCAAAUGGACGUGAAGAGUGCAUUUCUCAAUGGCCCCCUAUCCGAGUUGGUGUAUGUUGAGCAACCACCGGGCUUUGAAGAUCCCAAGUUUCCAAAUCACGUCUACAAGCUCGACAAAGCACUCUAUGGGCUUAAACAAGCCCCUAGAGCUUGGUAUGAUUGCUUAAAGGACUUCCUACUCAAGCAAGGGUUUGAGAUAGGAAAGGCCGAUGCUACCUUGUUUACUCGCAAAGUCAAUAAUGAUUUUUUUGUGUGCCAAAUAUAUGUCGAUGACAUAAUAUUUGGUAGUACUAAUGAAGACUUUUGUGAGGAAUUUAGUAGGAAUAUGACGAACAGGUUUGAGAUGUCUAUGAUGGGUGAGUUGAAGUUCUUUCUUGGAUUUCAAAUCAAGCAACUCAAAGAUGGCAUGUUCAUAAGUCAAACAAAGUACACCUACGAUAUGCUAAAGAAGUUCGACAUGGACAAAGCCAAACCCAUCAAAACACCGAUGCCAACAAGUGGGCAUCUUGACCCUGAUCAAGGAGGAAAGGACAUCGAUCAAAAGGUAUAUCGCUCCAUGAUUGGAUCCCUCCUUUACCUUUGUGCAUCUAGGCCCGAUAUUAUGCUUAGUGUGUGCAUGUGUGCAAGAUUUCAAGCUAGUCCAAAAGAAUACCAUCUAAUGGCUGUUAAGAGAAUCUUUCAGUAUUUAGUGCACACUCCUAAUCUUGGCUUGUGGUAUCCCAAGGGCUCCACUUUCGAGUUACUUGGCUAUUCCGAUUCGGAUUAUGCCGGUUGCAAAGUAAGUCGAAAGAGUACCACCGGGACUUGCCAAUUUAUUGGUAGGUCUUUGGUGUCUUGGAGCUCUAAGAAGCAGAACUCCGUUGCUUUGUCCACCGCUGAGGCCGAGUAUGUGGCGGCCGGUGCAUGCUGUGCCCAACUACUUUGGAUGAAGCAAACCCUCAAAGACUUUGGUUGUGAGCUAAACAAGAUUCCCCUUUUGUGUGACAACGAGAGUGCCAUUAAGUUGGCAAACAACCCUGCAAACCACUCUCGAACAAAGCACAUAGACAUCCGGCAUCACUUUUUGAGAGACCACGAAGCCAAAGGAGAUAUCGCACUUCAUCAUGUGAGCACCGAUAAACAACUAGCCGAUAUCUUCACAAAGCCCCUAGAUGAGUCAAGAUUUUGUGCUUUGAGGAGUGAGCUAAAUAUCAUUGAUUCUCGUAACCUACUUGAUGUCUUGCACAUAAUUUGAUUGAUCUAGGUAGGAGAAAAUUGUUUGCAAAGUUUGUUUGCUGUCUUUCAAAAUCUAAUUUAAUAUAGGUUUCAUGGAUGAUUAUAGUUAUAUAAUGCUUGUUUGUCAGCUAGUCAUCCUUGAAAUCAUUUGUGUCCAUCAUAUUUAUACCCCACUUUGCAGAGAGAGCUCAAAUUCUGAAGUUUUUGGGUUUUCCUGUGUCGGAAGUCCCGACGUGCGUCGGGAGUUCCGACGUGGUUGCGGGCUGAGCCCUCAGCCGGGAGUUCUGGCUGGCGUCGGGAGUCCCGGCCAGCGUCGGAAGUUCCGACGUGAGCCGAAAGUCCCGACGCAGAUCUCGCGCGCGUGCGGCAGACCUGUUUUGACUGGCUUGCCCCCCCCCUUUUUCACCCCGUGACCGCAGUCUUCCCCCCCCCCGCAGUCAGUUUCUUUCCCCCCCGCGCCUCCUCCUUCCCCAUUCCGAUCCAGAUCUGCCGCCGUCUCGCUGGCCUGCUCGGUCGCGGUGCGCCUCCCCCCUCCUUCCGUCGUGGUUCGCGGUGGUGCGCCUUGCGUCCUCUCCGUUGUGGUGUGUUUCGCCCUUCCCGAAGCCCUGCGUGCGCGGCGUGUGCUGCUCCUCGUGCGCAGCGUGUGUGGCGGCCGUCUCUUCGGCCGGACGUCUUCCUCGUCGCGCGUUUCUUUCUUCCUCUUCAGGUGCUUUCCCCUCUCUCUUCUCUCUCUCUCUCCCGUGUCUUGGCUUUGGAGUUUUUCGACCUCGUGCGUCGGGGGUUCCGACGGCUGUCGGGAGUUCCGACUGUCGGGACUUCCGGCCUGUGCCGGGACUUCCGACCUCGCGGUCCCUUGCUCCAUCGCAUGUCUUCCUCCAUCUUGUCUUCUAUCCUUUCUUGUGUUUGCCCAGCGUCUUAGUUGUUCGUCGCUUAUCUCGCAGUGAUGACUCGUGGAAGCCCUUCUCGCCAUGUUGAGAAGAGGUCCAAGACCAACCAGGACCGCUCCGCUGCCCCCCGCACCAAGGCUGUUCUCCCUCGGGCUGGUGCUGGUGGCUCUCGUCGUGUCGCUGCUGCCGCCGCUGCCCGUGCCUCUGGGCAAGGCCCAUCGGCUCCGGUGGCAGCCCCCCCUCAGUCCUCGCACCGGGAUCCUGAUCCCACCGGGCGUGACACCGAGGUCGACCCUGCAGAAGAGGAGCUUGAGCGUGCUGGGCGGACUAUUUCCGCUCAAGUGCGCUCCCUGUAUGAUGGGCCGGAGUGUCCCGUCUCCACGCUUGUCCCCUUCGACUCUCCGGCCCCCGUCGUGCGCUGCCCCGAGAUUGCUCCCAACAUGGGUGGUUGGGCUCCUCCUCGUCCGAUUGAUUUCCGCCACAACGUCUGCGACAUCAGGUCCUUCCGGAGCCGCAACCUUUAUGCUGAAGAUGAGAAGGAUCUCCGCCUUGAGUAUCGCUUUUGGCACUACUUUCAUUUCUACUAUUAUGAUUCCAUUCUUUACCGCAAGUCUCUUAAGAAAGGGAAGUCUCCGGUUAUUCAAAUGAAGUAUAUCAUUGAGUACUCCCUUUCCUCCACCUUCAAAGAUCAAGAGAUUCGACAAAUGGUGGAAGACUUGCGCAACAUGGGUCUCUCUGGGCUGAUGGAGCUUCACAGGCAUUGGAACAAUGAGGUGAUUAUGCAGUUUUAUGCUUCCUAUUUUCAUGAGACUGACAGCGAGAGUGACACUGAUGUUAUUCACUGGACCACUGAGGGUCGUCACUACAAGGUUGAUUUUGUCACCUUUGCUCGUUUGCUUGGUUUCAAUGGGCAUGAUCGUCGUGCAGCGGAGAUUACUGAUUAUGAGGAUGUGGCUAUGUCUGAGUACCAGUUUAUGUAUUUGGAGGGUUUUCCUGCUGAUGGACAGACCGUUUAUCUGAAGCCCUAUUACUAUGUGCUCAACAACAUUCUCAGGCAGGUUUUGUACCCCAAGGAAGGAGACUCCACUUUUCUUAGGGAUGAUUCUCAGAAGGUCCUAGCUCGUUUUGGAGAUGAUUUCCAGAAGUUCUCGGUCAGCCGGUACAUCUGGAACAGGAUACAUGAUGCUUCUGAGGAUCCGGUCAAGAACCUUCCAUAUGCUCCUUACAUCAUGCAUGUCAUUCAGCAGGUCUCAGGCAUUCACUUUCCUACUGAUGGCUCUAAUCACAAGGUGUUGAGAUUGGCAAAUCGGGUCUCCGUCCAAGCAGCUAGGGCUUUGAAGGCUUGUGGUGCAGAUCCUCCUCCUCGCCGUGGUGGUCCUUCCUCUGCUCGUUCCCGUCGUGCUGCUCCUUCGCCUCCUGCUAUCUCCCGCUCCACCAGUUCUCAGCCUCUCACCUCCUCUGGCAAAGGCAAGAAGCCCAGCAAGUUCAAGUUUCUGAUGACUUAUAUGUUUGGACAAUGUUGUGCUAGUGCUCAGAGGCAGCAUGAUAUUCAGGAGAGGCUCUAUCGUCUUGAGCAGCAGGCUGGUGUUGUCUCUUCGCCCCCUCCUCCGUUUGUGCCUCCCAGUGAUCCUCUUGCUCUUUAUGAUGAGGCUUGCCAAGCUUAUCAGGAUGAGGCCACUUCUCGCCCUCAUGGCAAAGGUGUGGCUGCCCCUGAGGAUGAGGAGUACCAUGAAGAAGAACAAGAUGAUGAUGAUGAUGACGACGACGAUGAUGAUGACGGUGACGAUGAGGACUUUGACAUUGAGUAGUCGUUUCUUCUCUAGCGCGGCCUACCCCUUUUGGCACUUGUUGACAAAGGGGGAGUGUUAGGCUUUGAUCUUUCAUGUAAUAAGCUAGAUGUCGUGGUUGGUAGACUUAAUAAUUUCUUAGUUUGGAUUAUCUAUGUCUCGUGGUGGUACUAUGUGAUGGACAUCUUUAUAUUUGUUGUGUGAGUUGGAUGAUUGUAGGACAAGUUGUUAAUCUUUUAUCUAUCUACGUUGUUUACUUGUCCUUGCCUCUUUUGUUUGUUUGUUGAUUGAGUUUUUGUGAUGGCCAUGUACUUAAGGUCUAUCUUGGUUUAUUGGUCAUCCUAUUCUCUCCACUUUGUUGUGUGAAUAUAAACUGUCAUUUUGCAUACUUUUUCACGGUUAUACUCUUGUUCACACUUGUUGCACCCCACGAAGUGCAAAAUUUAGGGGGAGCUUGUUCUUUGAUGUAUGUUUCUUAAGUGAUGACAAUCACCAUUGAAAUUCAAAUUCAUGCAUACAUCAAGGGGGAGCUCACUGUAAAUUUUGGACUUCAAAAGCUUUUUGACUUUCAUUUGUAAGCCUAAACUUGGUUGUCAUCAAGCACCAAAAAGGGGGAGAUUGAAAGUGCAUUUGCCCCCUAUGUGGGUUUUGGUGUAUUGAUGACAUCCAAUUUAGGGACUAAUGCGUUGUAUUUGAGAUUUGCUACAGCUACUAAUCUCAUGAAAGAUGCAAAGGUUCGACUUAAGAUGAAAUGGUAUCCCCCAAUCUUCGUUCGUGAGAAAGGCGUUGGAAUCAAUCUAGAGCUUAAUUGUUUUUCUUUAAUUUUGGGGAUAGGUAUGCCGUACUAUCAAGAGGGAUUCAAAAGUUGUUGGUUUGGCGAAGAUAGAGUGCUCAAGUCUUUCAACUAAAACUUUUUAGAGACACUCUAACACCUCUCUUGCACUUAGGUUUAACUUCUGUGACUUCUGGUGUCGGAAGUCCCGACGCGGGUCGGAACUCCCGACGUGCUGCGCGAGAACUGUGAACGUCGGAAGUCCCAACGUAAGUCGGAAGUCCCGACGUUGAAUUCUGCGCGCGCACAUGUCGGAAUUCCCGACAAGCGUCGGAAGUCCCGAUGCCAGAACUUUGGCUGGCUGCUCCCUCGCACGAGCGUCAGUAGUCCCGACCAGCGUCAGCAGUGCUGACGCGUCGGAAGUCCCGACGCUUGUCGGAACUUCCGACGUUGCCGUUUCUGCGCUGACUCAGUUUGCCUGUUGAACAGUUUUUCCCCGUGAGUGUCGGAAGUCCCGACACUAUGUCGGAACUUCCGACGUAGACCUGAGCAGACUUUUCUCCCAGUAGUAUAAAUAGCUCUCUCUGUGUUUCUAACCGUUACCCACUCUUUCAUUGCGACCAUCCCUCAGACUAAACAGCUCCCAAGCAUUCAAGACUCCCCUCUCCUCCUCCUCUUUGCUCCCAACUUCGAUUCACCUUAGAUUUGGAGUGAUUGGAGAGUGGUUAAGUGAGAGCAACGUCUUGAGAAGCUUGAGCACUUGAUCUCUUCGUCAAGCCGGCAGGUUUUGAGUUUAUUACUCUUGGGUUCUUGGAACCCUAGCCGGCUAGGCAUCGUCCAAGAGCUUCUAUCUUGUGGAAGAGCCUUGGAAAGUUUGUAUUACCCGGUUUUUCUUAGUGGAAAGCUCAAGUGACCUUUGUGGUUACUUUGAGGGAGGCAAGGAGGUGAAAGAGACUCCGACCUUGGUGGUCACCUCAACAACGAGGACGUAGGAACUCCUAAGUGGGGUUGCCGAACCUCGGGUUAAAUCCUUGUGUCUCUUGUGGUUGUUUGUCUUAAGAUCUACUUGUAUUACUUGUAUUUGCUUGUGCUUCAACCUCCUUUUAGGGUUUGGUCUCGAUCUACGGUUUGGGGGACUCUUGGUGUCAAGGAAGGUUCUCAACAUCCUCUUCUAACCACUAGAGAGUGGUGUUGUAAGUUGUGGAUCUCACAAAGUUCAUUUAAGCACUUGUAGUUCAUUUUCCGUAGGUGUCGGAACUGCUGACAGUUUGCGUCGGAACUUCUGACAACGUCGGAAGUUCUGACCCAAACUGUCGGGACUUCCGACAGUUGCUGACAAGUGACUUUGAGUUUUGUGUAGAAUUUUUAUAUACGCCUAUUCACCCCACCUCUAGGCAUUGUUUAGAUCCUUUCAUGUUAUUAUACCUAUUUGAUGUCACAAAUUUUUAAAGUUUUCUCUAUAAAUUUAGUAAAGCUUGAGAAGCUUUAACUCUCCAAAAUUUUUGAAAUGACUUGUAAUUCAGGACAGGUUAAGUACCUAAUAUACUUUAAAGUCUAAAAUGUCAUUUUACUUUAUAUAUAUACGUUGUUAAAAAAAUUCUAAAAUCACACUAAACCAUUGUAUUAAUAUAUCCAGCUGUUCUCAAUUCUCAAUAUCAGACCUUGUUUAGUUGGUGAAAAAUUUUGGUAUUGACUACUCUAGCACUUUCGUUUGUAUUUGACAAUUAUUAUCCAAUUAUAAACUAACUAGACUUAAAAAAUUUGUCUCACAAAUUACGGACAAACUGCAUAAUUAUUUUUUAUCUAUAUUUAAUACUUCAUGCAUGCGUCUAAGGAUUUAAUGUGACAGAGAAUCUUGAAAAAUUUUGAGAUUUUUGGUGAAGUAAACAGGCGUCAAUAUGCCAUACGAUGAUUAUUUAUGGGUUACACAUGCACCCAUUUAUUUUUUUUGUAAAAAAAAAGGACUCAAAGGGUAAAGACGGUAAUGAGGAAAAAAAAACCCCCCGCUCUCCUUCUUCCCCUUCCCGCUGACACCAGCUGGCGCGUGCGUGAAGGAUACGCCAACGCCGCAAACCGACCACUCCAUCUUCCCGGGCAAUAAAACCCCAGUAACUCAUCGGCGUCUCCUCCCCCGCUUCCCAGAGCAAUCCAUCCCCAGAGUUCUGGAAUCCCACUUCCUGAUCUCCAUCUCCCAGCAUCUCCGCGCGCGCCCCAUCGCGAUCUCGGCUCCGCGGCUGCCUCGAUCGAUUCCCCCAAGGCCGCAGGUGCUCCCCAUCCUCCCUCCUCGCUCGAUCCGCACUCCUCUCGACUCGUCGCCCCUUCGGAUCCCGUUGCGAUGCUGAGCCUGCCUCCUCCGGCCCCACCCGCGGCGGCGGCGGUGGCGGUGGCGGCGGCGGCGGCGGCGGAUGAGAAGCGUCCCUCGCCGCCGAUGAAGGCGAAGCUGCUUUUUCCGUACGCCGUGUCCUGCGUGUUCGGCGGCAUGCGCCGCGCCUGGGGCAUGGCUCUCGUCGGGCUCCACGCCUUGACCCGUGUCGUCAAGGUCGUCUCCUUCACGACAGACGCAGAGGAGGUUCGCUUCUUGGUACCGAUCUUCCACGGCUGGGUGUACCUCGGCAUCGCCGCCGUGGUGCUCGUGACGUGCGUGGACAUCAUCUACUACACGGUGAGUCUGCUCUUUCCAUACGCUGUGUCCUGUGUGGUCAGCGGCAGAGGCCGGCCCAGGGGCAUGGCUAUGAUCAGCCUCCACAUUGUGCUCAGCAUCGUCAAGGUCCUCUCUUUCACCACAGACCCUGAGGUGGCCCGCUUCUUGACACUAAUCUUCCGUGUGUGGGUCUACUUUGGCAUCACUGCCAUGGUCCUCAUGACGUGCGUGGACAUCGGUCACUACUUGUAUGGUUUGUACACCUUGAUGUUCCAUCCGUCACAGCAGCAGCUGGCAGCGGCAGAGGUGCUGCUCCCGCCUCCACCUCCGGAGAUGGACAUGUGCUAAAUUUGGUCGGUGGGUUCGGUAUGUCUUUGAUUGCUGGCGUCAGGUGCGUUUUCUAACCCGUUCUUCAGUCUCUGUUUUAGUUGCUUACUUACAGGUGUU
rnacentral:lncRNA from 1 species